rnacentral:rRNA from 1 species
GACGAACGCUGGCGGCGUGCUUAACACAUGCAAGUCGAACGGUGAAGCGCCUUCCUUUUUGGUGGGUGUGGAUGAGUGGCGAACGGGUGAGUAACACGUGAGUAACCUGCCCCCUUCUUCUGGAUAUCCGCAUGAAAGUGUGGCUAAUACGGGAUAUUCUGGGUCUGUCGCAUGAUGGGUCUGGGAAAGAUAUUGUUUCGGUGGGGGAUGGGCUCGCGGCCUAUCAGCUUGUUGGUGGGGUGAUGGCCUACCAAGGCGGUGACGGGUAGCCGGCCUGAGAGGGUGGACGGUCACACUGGGACUGAGACACGGCCCAGACUCCUACGGGAGGCAGCAGUGGGGAAUAUUGCACAAUGGGCGCAAGCCUGAUGCAGCGACGCCGCGUGAGGGAUGGAGGCCUUCGGGUUGUGAACCUCUUUCGCCAGUGAAGCAGGCCUGCCUCGUUUGUGGGUGGGUUGACGGUAGCUGGAGAAGAAGCGCCGGCUAACUACGUG